rnacentral:rRNA from 1 species
AAUUGAUAUCUCGGCUCUUGUAACAAUGAAAAACGUAGCAAAAUGCGAUAUUUGGUGUGAAUUGUAGAAUCUCGUGAGCCAUCAACUAUUUGAAUGCAAGUUGAGCCCGAAGCCUUCGCGGCCGAGGGCACGCCUGCCUGGGCGUCAUUC